rnacentral:rRNA from 1 species
GAUGAACGCUGGCGGCGUGCUUAACACAUGCAAGUCGAACGGUGAAGGCGUAGGUUGCUCUGCUGGAUCAGUGGCGAACGGGUGAGUAACACGAGAGCAAUCUGCCCCAGAUUUUGGGAGGAGCGCUGGAAACGACGCCUACUACUGGAUACGAGCCGCCAUGGCAUUUUCAGCAGCUGGACAGAAGUUCGGGCUGGGAUGAGUUCGCGGCCUAUCAGCUUGUUGGUGAGGUAAUGGCACACCAAGGCGGCGACGGGUAGCCGGCCUGAGAGGGUGACCGGGCACACUGCGACUGAGAGACGGCCCAGACUCCUACGGGAGACAGCAGUGGGGAAUAUUGCACAAUGGGCGCAAGCCUGAUGCAGCAGCGCCGCGUGAGGGAAGACGGCCUUCGGGUUGUAAACAUCAUUUAGCAGGGAAGAAGCGAAAGUGACGGUACCUGAAGAAAAAGCACCGGCUAACUACGUG